rnacentral:rRNA from 1 species
UGGGGAAUAUUGCACAAUGGGGGAAACCCUGAUGCAGCGACGCCGCGUGAACGAAGAAGGUAUUCGUAUCGUAAAGUUCUGUCCUAUGGGAAGAUAAUGACAGUACCAUAGAAGAAAGCUCCGGCUAAAUACGUGCCAGCAGCCGCGGUAAUACGUAUGGAGCGAGCGUUGUCCGGAAUUAUUGGGCGUAAAGGGUACGCAAGCGGUUUAAUAAGUCGAAUGUUAAAGAUCGGGGCUCAACCCCGCAAAGCAUUGGAAACUGAUAAACUUGAGUAGUGGAGAGGAAAGUGGAAUUCCUAGUGUAGUGGUGAAAUACGUAGAUAUUAGGAGGAAUACCAGUAGCGAAGGCGACUUUCUGGACACAAACUGACGCUGAGGUACGAAAGCGUGGGGAGCAAACAGG